UACGGCCAUAUCUACUGUAAAACACCGGAACUCAUCAGCUCUCCGAAGUUAAGC
rnacentral:rRNA from 1 species